CGGUAGAUCACGAUCAAAGGGGGUGCGAGUUUUCUCCAACAGAAGCCCUGCGAAAACCCUACAUCAGCCCCCUUUCUCGUGUCUGCACGUCGAGUCGUCUCUAUCACACGCCCGCUUGCCCCGUCCUUUCGAAGAAAAACCCCCCUUUCCCUAGUUCUUUGCCUCUCUCCUUGCUCUGAUUAGUUCGCUUCCAAUUCGUCUCCGGGUCUCGGCUCUGUGUCAAGAAUUUUCCCAAGUACGUCAACGAGGACCGCCUUCGUGAAUUCUUCUCUCAGAAGGGGGAGGUCACCGAUGCCAAGCUUAUGCGCACUUAAGUAAGAGAUUGAAUGAAUUGCUCUGUUGCCCUAUGAAGCACUCUAUAUUGGUAGUUGCGUCGUUUAUGUAUGCUUCCUUGGAAAUAUUUCUGUUCAUUGAGCUUUGAUAAGCUCCAACUAUAUAUUCGAGGAGUAGCGAAUUUGUGCCGUUAUAAUGGUCCCAUCUUUUCUUCACGGGAUCAACGCAUUUUUCUUUCUUAGCUAGAAUUACCUGCUCAUUAGGCAAGUUUAAUAAGUGGGAAAAUAUUUUCUCGCCCUAGAUAGUUUCCUUCAUUCAGUGCGUGCUUAUCAAACACUAUAUUGGUAGGGUUUAGUUUUUCUAAUUUGAAUGUUCUUCUCUGGCUUUCAUUCAUUAUUGGGAGAUUAGCCAUUUUGUUCUGGCCUUCAUUCAUUAAUUUAAAUAUCUCAUCAUUUUACUGAGUGGAUCAAGAACCUAAUUCGAUUCACUUGUUUGUUUAUUUGUCACUUAAUGAUUUGCCUGGUGGCCAGUUUAAAACCAAGAAACAGAAAAAAUAUAUAUCAUUUUCUUCUGAGAUGACAUUUUUUAUUUGUAUAGUAAUUUUUAUGCCUUUGGGAUCUAUAUGUUAAACUUGUUUCUGUUAGAGAUGGAAAGAGAAGGCAAUUCACAUUUAUUGGGUUCCGAACUGAGAGGGAAGCUGAAGACGCCUCAGCUACUAUAACAAUUCUUACAUGGAUACAUGCAAAUAAUUUUUUUUGAAAAAGGAAAACAUAAAUUCAUUUAAAAUUCAAACUGCUCAGUGAGCAAAGGCAACGGUAUUGUUCGCGGAUCAAAAUUGCUUUCCCAGAAGACUCCACAGUUAACCACCCUUCCCCAGUUAGCUAGUCUAUGGGUCGAGUCUUUAUAGGCUCAACGUAUGUGUUGAAAGUCAAUCACAUUGACUUCCCUGGCCAAGUUCACUUAUCACUAAGGAGACUGUAAAGGUGCCAAGGCACCCUCCUACAGUUCCCUACAAAAUUGAUCCAUUCAUUGGAAUCUGUACAAAAAUUAUAUUCUUCCAUCCUUGCAUUUGGGCUCUCUCCAGAGCCUUCAAAAUAGCUCUGCCCUCAGUUUGUUUGGGGUCUUGCACCUUGCAUCCCUCAAAUCCAGCUGCUAGAAGUCUGCCAUCCUUGGUUUUGAUGAUGAAUCCCAAACCUGUAUUAUAGGAAGAAAAAGAGCCAUCACAAAGUAUCACAAAUUCAUGUGUCCCCUCAAUGGAAAUAUCUGAACAUUCCUCUCAAGGCGCUGGAUAGGUUUCAGGAAGUCAAUAGUGGCAGCCACUAUAUUCCAUUAUUCCUGUACAUCGCUAUGUAAUCUGAGGUAGGCAGUCUAUUCCAUAAGAAAAUUUUUAUUUUGGGAUAAACAUGUAAAUAUGCCAAAGUGCUGUCUGACCAGACCAAGAUGCAUCCAUGGAUGGGGCUCCCUCUCUCAACAAACUGUCAGCACUAUUAACCAAAGCCUCACUACUUGGAGUAAGAGCCCAUACUCAGCGGUCAAUGACCAGGGCUGCUAGAAAUAUCAAUACAAAGAAUUCUAUCGAUCAGGAGGGGAUGAAAACAGUUUGAUGAAAGCAAGAAAUCCCAAAACCCAUUUAAUAACAGAUCUGAAACCAUCUGCAAAUUCGACAUCAAAUCAGCGUUUACAAAAGUCGGCCGCUUGCUAAUUGGAAUACCAUCGAUCCAAGGAUAUGUAGAAAUCAAAGUUGAUGUACCAUCCACCAUGCUGCGUCCGAGACCUCGCCUAAUAGACAUAAUCAAGUUAUUUGUGAUCCUCCAGUUCCAUGAAACUGGUCUAUUGUGAUUGAGAUUCCAAGUCUUUAUUUUUUACUUUUGUUCUUGUUAUCUAGUCACGAUCACUAUUUUUCAAGAACCUGAAUUUCCAGGCAAUUGAUGACUCUUUGAAGAAACAUUUUAGUGAUAAAAUGAAGGAUGGGAUAAUAAAAAGCGUAAAGGUACAUUCUUGAUUGGAUUGUGAGUUUUCUUCUCUUUAUUCUUCUUUUCAAAUGUUCUUACUGUUGUUUUAGGUAAAAAAACACCAAAAAAUGGAAAGGAUGUUUCCAUUGGUUUUGUUGAAUUCGAUUCUGUGGAAACAGCAACCAGUGUGCGUAAGGAUUUACAGGGAACUGUUCUGGAUGGUCAUUCUCUUAUAUUGCAACUUUGUCCUUCCAAGAAAGCCAGACAGGUUCCUAAAAAAGACAAGAAGAUUAAGAGCUCAACAACAUUGAUCGUAAAAAAAUGUUUUUGCAUUUGAGGCAACCGAAAAGGAUCUAAAGCAGCUGUUCAGUCCAUUUGGUCAGUGAAGUUCGGGGGUCAUGACAAGGGCUAUGCAUUCUUCUAGGAUGCUACUGAGCAAGAGGCCCAAAAUGCAUUGGAGAAUCUUUCAAGCACGCAUCUCUAUAGUCAUCUGCGAGCAAAAGAGAGAAACAAUAGAAGAUCUAAGAGCAAGAGCUGCUGCUCAGUUUGGGGUUGACAAUGGUGGCUUAUCGAAUAAAACGAAGGCCACUUCUGUGGUUGAAGGCGCCAAGGAGUUAAAUCAUUCUUUCGGCAUUUAUUGAUUCAUAGAGCCCAAAGGGUAAAGCAUUCCUCAAUUUCUGCCAAAAGUUUCUGUCUGUAAAGAAUGUUCUAUCGCAGAACGAAUAACUGAUAAGAAAAAACACUGAUUCCUAGCA